rnacentral:rRNA from 1 species
UAACGGCUUACCAAGGCAACGAUGGGUAGGGGUCCUGAGAGGGAGAUCCCCCACACUGGUACUGAGACACGGACCAGACUCCUACGGGAGGCAGCAGUGAGGAAUAUUGGUCAAUGGGCGCAAGCCUGAACCAGCCAUGCCGCGUAAAGGAUGACGGUCCUAUGGAUUGUAAACUGCUUUUGUACGAGAAGAAACACUCCCUCGUGAGGGAGCUUGACGGUACCGUAAGAAUAAGGAUCGGCUAACUCCGUGCCAGCAGCCGCGGUAAUACGGAGGAUCCAAGCGUUAUCCGGAAUCAUUGGGUUUAAAGGGUCCGUAGGCGGUCUUGUAAGUCAGUGGUGAAAGCCCAUCGCUCAACGGUGGAACGGCCAUUGAUACUGCAGGACUUGAAUUACUGGGAAGCAACUAGAAUAUGUAGUGUAGCGGUGAAAUGCUUAGAGAUUACAUGGAAUACCAAUUGCGAAGGCAGGUUGCUACCAAUGGAUUGACGCUGAUGGACGAAAGCGUGGGUAGCGAACAGGAUUAGAUACCCUGGUAGUCCACGCCGUAAACGAUGGAUACUAGCUGUUGGGGCGCAAGUUCUGUGGCUAAUCGAAGUG